rnacentral:lncRNA from 1 species
AGGUUGGAAAAGAAGUGUUCAAAGUCGCAAUCGGGAAGCGGCAUCUCGCUGGUGCCGCUCCCAUGGCCGGGAACAAAGCAUGGGUCCUAUCCGGGUAACGAAAAGCCAUCCGCGGAAAAUUCGAUGUCAUCAAGAUCAAUCCCUUUGCCUUUCCUCUGCCCGUCUCCAAUCGGAACGUCUUGAGGAACAGCAUCACCCAUGUCCAGAUCAGUCUCCUCUUCCACAACCUCGACAAGAUCGGCUCGAGACCGGGAGAGCGCCAGUGCCCUUCGAACCCGCUCAUGAGUGAAGGAAGUCCAGAAAAAUGGACCGCUCCUAAGGAGGUUCCUC